ACGGAAGGCAGCAGUGGGGAAUAUUGGACAAUGGGCGCAAGCCUGAUCCAGCAAUGCCGCGUGAGUGAUGAAGGCCUUCGGGUUGUAAAGCUCUUUCGCACGCGACGAUGAUGACGGUAGCGUGAGAAGAAGCCCCGGCUAACUUCGUGCCAGCAGCCGCGGUAAUACGAAGGGGGCUAGCGUUGUUCGGAAUUACUGGGCGUAAAGGGCGCGUAGGCGGUCCCUCAAGUCAGGCGUGAAAGCCCCGGGCUCAACCUGGGAACCGCGCUUGAGACUGAUGGGCUAGAGUUCGGGAGAGGAUGGUGGAAUUCCCAGUGUAGAGGUGAAAUUCGUAGAUAUUGGGAAGAACACCGAUGGCGAAGGCAGCCAUCUGGACCGACACUGACGCUGAGGCGCGAAAGCGUGGGGAGCAAACAGGAUUAGAUACCCUGGUA
rnacentral:rRNA from 1 species